UACGUAGGGUGCGAGCGUUAAUCGGAAUUACUGGGCGUAAAGCGUUCGCAGGCGGUUUUGUACGCCGGAUGUGAAAUCCCCGGGCUCAACCUGGGAAUUGCUUUUGAAACUGCCGAGCUAGAGUGCGGAAGGGGCAACUGGAAUUCCCAGUGUAGCGGUGAAAUGCGUAGAUAUUGGGAAGAACACCUGAGGCGAAGGCGGGUUGCUGGGCCGACACUGACGCUGAUGCGCGAAAGCCAGGGGAGCGAACGGG
rnacentral:rRNA from 1 species